rnacentral:rRNA from 1 species
GGAUUAGAUACCCUGGUAGUCCACGCCGUAAACGAUGAGAACUAGCCGUCGGGGCCCUUGAGGCCUUGGUGGCGCAGCUAACGCGAUAAGCUCUCCGCCUGGGGAGUACGGCCGCAAGGUUAAAACUCAAAUGAAUUGACGGGGGCCCGCACAAGCGGUGGAGCAUGUGGUUUAAUUCGAUGCAACGCGAAGAACCUUACCUGCCCUUGACAUCUAGCGAACUUUCCAGAGAUGGAUUGGUGCCUUCGGGAACGCUAAGACAGGUGCUGCAUGGCUGUCGUCAGCUCGUGCCG